rnacentral:rRNA from 1 species
UUGAACGCUGGCGGCAGGCCUAACACAUGCAAGUCGAGCGGUUGAGAGUAGCUUGCUACUUGAUGCAGCGGCGGACGGGUGAGUAACGCGUGGGAAUCUGCCCAGUAGUGGGGGACAACAGCCGGAAACGGCUGCUACGACCGCAUACGCCCUACGGGGGAAAGGGGGGGAUCUUCGGACCUCUCGCGAUUAGAUGAGCCCGCGUAGGAUUAGCUAGUUGGUAGGGUAAAGGCCUACAAAGGCUACGAUCCGUAACUGGUCGGAGAGGAUGAUCAAUCACACUGGAACUGAGACACGGUCCAGACUCCUACGGGAGGCAGCAGUGGGGAAUAUUGUACAAUGGGGAAACCCUGAUCCAGCCAUGCCGCGUGUGUGAAGAAGGCCUUGGGGUUGUAAAGCACUUUCAGUGGGGAGAAAGGUUUGUCACCUAAUACGUGAUGAAAUUGAUGUUACCCACAGAAGAAGCACCGGCUAACUCCGUGCCAGCAGCCGCAGUAACAC